GACGAACGCUGGCGGCGUGCUUCACACAUGCAAGUAGCACGGAGUGGCUAACGGGUGAGGAACACGUGGGUGAUCUGCCUUGCACAUCGGGAUACGCUUGGGAAAAUGGGUAUAAUACCGGAUAGUUCAAGCUGAGCUCGCGGACUAUAAGCUUGUUGUUGUGGUAAUGGCCUACCAAGGCGUCGAUGUGUAGCCGGCCUUUGAGGUUGUACGGACACAUUGGGACUGAGAGACGGCACAGACACCUACGGGAGGCAGCAGUGGGGAAGAUUGCACAAGGGGCGGAAGCCUGAUGCAGCGACGCCGCGUGGGGGAGGAAGGCCUUCGGGUUGUAAAAUCAUUUCGACAGUGACGCGGUACCUGCAUAAGAAGCACCGGCUAACUACGUGCCAGCAGCCGCGGUAAUAC
rnacentral:rRNA from 1 species